GUACAGAGGAUGCAAGUGUUAUCCGGAAUCACUGGGCGUAAAGCGUCUGUAGGUGGUCAAAUAAGUCAACUGUUAAAUCUUGAGGCUCAACCUCAAAAUCGCAGUCGAAACUAUUAGACUAGAGUAUAGUAGGGGUAAAGGGAAUUUCCAGUGGAGCGGUGAAAUGCGUAGAGAUCCGGAGGAAGACCGGUGGCGAAGGCGGCGAUCUGGGAAGAUACUGACGCUGAGGUGCGAAAGCGUGGGGAGCAAACAGG
rnacentral:rRNA from 1 species